AUGCCUCUCCAGGAUCUGGUUACAGCUGAGAAGCCCAUGCCACUAUUUGUUGAAAAAUGUGUGGAAUUUAUUGAAGAUACAGGGUUACCUACUGAAGGACUCUACCGUGUGAGCGGGAACAAAACUGAUCAAGACAAUAUUCAAAAGCAGUUUGAUCAAGUUCAUACUAUCAAUCUAGUGUCAAUGGAAGUAACAGUAAAUGCUGUAGCUGGAACUCUGAAAGCUUUCCUUGCAGAUCUGCCAGAUCCUUUAAUUCCAUAUUCUCUUCAUCUAGAGCUUUUGGAAGCAGUAAAAAUCCCAGAUAAAACAGAACGUUUUCACGCCUUGAAAGAAAUUGUUAAGAAAUUUCAUCCUGUAAACUAUGAUGUAUUCAGAUAUGUGAUAACACAUCUAAACAGGGAUAGUCAGGAAAAUGAAAUCAACUUAAUGACAGCAAACAACUUAUCCAUCUGUUUUUGACCAACCUUGAUGAGACAUGAUUUUGAAAAUCUAGUGUUUCUGUCUACCACUGAGAUUCAUCAAUCAGUUGUUGAAACAUUCUCUACCUUUUUAAUGUGGCCACAGAACAUUUAA